rnacentral:rRNA from 1 species
GACGAACGCUGGCGGCGUGCUUAACACAUGCAAGUCGAGCGGAAAGGCCUCUUUCGGGGGGUACUCGAGUGGCGAACGGGUGAGUAACACGUGAGUAACCUGCCCUUGACUUUGGGAUAACUUCAGGAAACUGGGGCUAAUACCGGAUAGGAGCUCCUGCUGCAUGGUGGGGGUUGGAAAGUUUCGGCGGUUGGGGAUGGACUCGCGGCUUAUCAGCUUGUUGGUGGGGUAGUGGCUUACCAAGGCUUUGACGGGUAGCCGGCCUGAGAGGGUGACCGGCCACAUUGGGACUGAGAUACGGCCCAGACGCCUACGGGAGGCAGCAGUGGGGAAUAUUGCACAAUGGGUGGAAGCCUGAUGCAGCAACGCCGGGUGCGGGAUGACGGCCUUCGGGUUGUAAACCGCUUUCGCUCAUGACGAAGCUUUGUGUGACGGUAGUGGGUAAAGAAGCACCGGCUAACUACGUG